GAUGAACGCUGGCGGCGUGCUUAACACAUGCAAGUCGAACGGAAAGGCUCCUGCUUGCAGGGGUACUCGAGUGGCGAACGGGUGAGUAACACGUGGGUGAUCUGCCCUGCACUUCGGGAUAAGCCUGGGAAACUGGGUCUAAUACCGGAUAGGACGAUGGUUUGGAUGCCAUUGUGGAAAGUUUUUUCGGUGUGGGAUGAGCUCGCGGCCUAUCAGCUUGUUGGUGGGGUAAUGGCCUACCAAGGCGUCGACGGGUAGCCGGCCUGAGAGGGUGUACGGCCAGAUUGGGAAGGAGAGACGGCCGAGACCCCAAGGGGGGAAAGGGGGGGGAAAUGUGGCAGAAGGGGCGAGAGCCGGAUGGAGCGGCGCGGCGGGGGGGAGGACGGCCUUCGGGUUAUAAACACUUUUCGCGAGGGACGAAGGGCAAGGGAGGGUACUGGGAAAAGAAGCCCCGGAAAACUACGGC
rnacentral:rRNA from 1 species